UACGGAGGAUCCAAGCGUUAUCCGGAUUCAUUGGGUUUAAAGGGUGCGUAGGCGGUCCGGUAAGUCAGCUGUGAAAGUCAAGGGCUCAACCCUUGAAUGCCGGUUGAUACUGUCGGGCUAGAGUCCGGAAGAGGCGAGUGGAAUUCCCGGCGUAGCGGUGAAAUGCGCAGAUAUCGGGAGGAACACCAAUGGCGAAGGCAGCUCGCUGGGACGGUACUGACGCUGAGACGCGAAAGCGUGGGGAGCAAACAGG
rnacentral:rRNA from 1 species